rnacentral:tRNA from 5 species
UCUGUAGCUCAGUCGGUAGAGCAGGGGACUGAAAAUCCCCGUGUCGAUGGUUCGAUUCCGUCCGGA